CUAUCUUAUGAUUUAAAUAUAAUUCAAGGAAUUUUUAUUUUAAAGUAUAAGAUAUAACUGGCAAGAUCAUGAUAUGAACGACAGGAUUUGCUAUUCAGUUUCGUACAUUUAAAAAAAAGUUAUGACUCAAAAUACAUGCUACAUGACAGAUCUAAUAAAACUACAUUAUAGGCACAGUUCGUAAAUAUUAUCGAUGACUGAUUCUACGAAGAUAAAGAGCAUAAAAAAAAAUCAAGAGGCAUGCAAAUGUGUUGUAGCCAUAGUUGUAGACUAUGUACGUGUCAGUGUUUUAUCUAAUAUCUACUGUAUACCCCAUUCUAGAAUAUUUAUGAUUUAAAAUAUAUAUAAAAUUAAUUAGAUCCAUAUUUUAAAUCGUGCAAUCUAAUUUUGUAAGAACCAUCUUCGUUAAUUAUAAUGUCUAUAAUGCAAUUUGUGUAAGUACGGUAGUCAAGUAGAUGAGGUCACGAUAUGAACCAACACAUCCUCACAUAAUUUGUUCAAAUGCUGCACACUGCUUUAUGGUAUCGAAAUACUAGAGUUAAUAAAACAAACAUUUUAAAUAUUCAACAAGAGACACUACUAAUACAGUAUUAGAGAAGAUUUUAGUCCUGAGGGGGGGGGGGGGGGAGAAAGACUGUGCCGCUGGUCAAUGUGUAGGCUACCCGGUCACGUGGCUUACUUACAAUUGACCAACCAGAGACAGGUCUACAUGAUAGGCUACAGCCUAUUGCAUCAUUAAGAAAAAUAGCGCCAGAACCAAACACCAUGACCAUCCCAUUCCAGUCAUAGUACUCAUAGAUCUACUUCAAGAUUGUGUUGAUUUGUGAUUAACUCGACUCUAUUCUAACAACUUUGGAAUGUGUGCGUCAAGCAAAGACUCGGAACCAAAGAGUGAAAGAAUGAUGGCAUCACUAUGAUCACUUCUUGCUGGAUCUGUCCAAGAGUCAAUGAGUACAGGUGGACCAUGUUGGAAAAUAACUUUCAGUCAAGACUCAAGUUGAGACAAGAGUUAGAGCUCCAUUGAUGUUAUUGAUCAAACUGAACAUGUUCUAGAGAUACUGGAGAAAAGAUUUGAGUGCAAUACAGACUCAUUUUCAAUUGAAAGCAAUUAAAAGAAGCAGAGAUAAAUACAAUCAGGAUUGGGUAUGAAGCAAAUUUCCCAAUGGCAAAUAAUGUAUCACUGUUGGAAAUAGAAGUGAAACUGAAGGAUGAAGAUUCUCAUGAAAAUUUGAUCUAUCCAGUGAAAACAGCAUUAAGAGAACAAUAGUAUGGAUUAUAACUUGGCUGGACUGGACAUGGCACAAACAGAAAAUAAAUGUAUUGAAUUUUCAAUCCAAAUUAUGGAUAUUAGAUUAUUCAAGUGAGUUACCCAAGUCUGUCAAAUAACUUAGAGAAAGUACUUGAACUUGGCACGUGUGAUGGCACAGAAAUCGUAAAAAAAGAAGGAUGAUGGCUUCAACGCUGAAGGAACAUCCCAAACAUGUAAAACAUUUUACAAACAAACCUAAUCAAAGUUUAUAAAUGUUUAAAAAAAGUAAGAUGCACAAGCAAAUUUAUUUACAUACUACAGAUAUUAGAACUAAUG